GCUUUUAAAGGAUAAUAGUAAUCCGUUGGUCUUAGGCCUCAAUAAUCCUGGUGCAAAUCCACGUAAAAGCC
rnacentral:tRNA from 1 species